CACGUAGGGUGCGAGCGUUGUCCGGAAUUAUUGGGCGUAAAGAGCUCGUAGGCGGUGUGUCGCGUCGGCCGUGAAAACCUGCAGCUUAACUGUGGGCUUGCGGUCGAUACGGGCAUCACUGGAGUUCGGCAGGGGAGACUGGAAUUCCUGGUGUAGCGGUGAAAUGCGCAGAUAUCAGGAGGAACACCGGUGGGCGAAGGCGGGUCUCUG
rnacentral:rRNA from 1 species